CCGUUCUUAAACUCCACCAAAAGCAUUAAAACAUCAUCCACAAUGGUGAAGAGGAUAAGAAACAAAUAAUCGCAUUGUCUAACAGCUAAUCGACACGAGGAAUAGGGAUUCGGUAGUAAUUAAUACACAUUUAGCUAAGGAAGGAAAAUGAGCAUGGGCAAUUGAUCUUUAUUAAUCUAUUCACUUGGGUACAUCCACUUUAAUAACAAAGAAUCUGUCCUGGUUUCAUUUGGAUUACCAAAAGGAUCUUCUUUGCAUGCCCCAGGGAAGAUUACAUUUCUGAACUCCAAUUCAAGCAUAAAAUCGAUGCUGAUGGACUGAAAUGGCGAGAUUCAGACCAAAUAAUGUCGAAAUCCCAAAUUGAUUGAGUAAAGAUUGUCUUUUAUUCCAAUUACCAUAGAUAAGAUAUUGUGAUUUAUUAUAAUUGUAGGAGAUUUAUUUUUUAUUUUUUCCUUUUCCAUGUAUUCUGCUUGUACUAUAAAAGGACCAACUCACUGUACAUUAUUUGUGAGAAAAAAUAAAAGUUCUCUCCCGAGUUUUAUUUUCAUGGUAUCAGAGCCAUACCUAUAGAAAUAGACGCUAAAUCUUCAAUUCUCGGUGUCAAUAACUCUGUUUUGACGGUUCUCUUGCAAGUUUCAAGGUCAAUCAGUGUCUGGUCGACGACACCGUCCUUUGCCUGCCUCCGCCUCGGUGGUUGGAGUUUUGCAUCAGAAUUUUUGACGUCUGUUGGUGUUCGACGCAAUUUUCAGCGUCUCUCUGGGUGUAUUGACGCGACUUCCAAUGUCUCUUGAGCAAUAAGAGGAUAUUCCAACUCUCCUCUGACUGCAUUCGAUGCUAUUCCGACAUCACUGUGGGCUCGCAUCUUUGUGGGUAUUACCGUGACUGAUUUUGGUGAACCACUGUUGGAUUUUGGGCUAGUAUUUGUUGGGCCUAAGUUAGUUUGGGCCAUUGUAUUAUUCUUCUUCUUGGUGGAUUAAAUUUAUUUGGGCUAAUUUUCACCAUGCCAUCAGAGAUAUCAUGUUCAUUGGCCCGCAAAUGUAAUUUCUUUAGAGCCCGAAAUUUUACUGCACUCGCUAAAGUGCCAUGGAUGAUUAACUCAGGGGCAUUCGAUCAUAUGACAAGCUCUUACAAUUUGUUUGUUACAUACUCACUACGUGCGAGUAAUCUUAAAGUUAAGAUUGCAGAUGAUUCUCUCUCGACAAUUGCAGGAAAAUGGAGUAUUCAAAUUUCUGACUCUAUAACUUUAGAAUCGGUCCUUCAUGUUCCAAAUUUAUCGUACAAUUUAUUAUCUAUAAGCCAGCUAACAAAAACUUCCAAUUGCUCCGUUAAAUUCUUUCCAUCACAUUGUAUUUUUCAGGACCUAUAAUCGAGGGGAAAACGAUUGGUAGUGCUAAAGAAAGUGAAGGACUCUACUACUUUGAGAAAGUUGAUGUGAGUAACCAGUGUCAACUUAAAAUUUGUGAUUCUGUAUCUGUUCUUAGUGAUUGUGAAAUUAUGUUAUGGCAUUUUAG
rnacentral:lncRNA from 1 species